UUCAAACUUCUUUAAGUACUGGAGUGAUGCACAAUGACAGUUGAGUAAAUUUCCCUCUCCACUUCCUGUGAAGUGAUGUAUCGAUGAACCCUUAUUCCCUAUUUCAUUUUCCCUUUUUCAUUGCCAUUCAUACUGAUCAUAUAUGCUCCCUUUGGAAUGGAAUCUCACUUAAGUUAAUGGAAUAUCCUGUGAACUCCACUUCACAGGGCACGUUUGAUUGAUUGGAAUGAAACUGAUUCAUGUGUUUAGAUAAUUCUGAAAUCCUCGCUGAGAAAAGAAAUGCCAUCAAGCAAAAACCUCAGUCAUCUGUGUUAGUUUUGUUACUAAGUGAGAUAUUUCAUCCUUCAGUGUUAAUUAUGUAUCUCUAUCACUUCAUCAUUAAUUAACAGCGACAUCAGCAACAUCUGCAUAAUCAAUUAUAAUCAUAUACUGUAUCAAUCCACAGAGCUGUAUGACCCAAAGUAUAUGAGAAUUCAGUCUGUUUUUGUUCUGUUCCUCUCUCCUUUAACAGGGAGUCUCAUCUCUGAAGAUCUGCGUCCUGGGCAUGAAGAUGUGGAUUCACUUCUCUCAGGUUAGAGAGAGAGGGCGAAUACAUGCACAUCAGGAUACUAUGAGGAAAUCAUCUUUGAUGGACCAAAACCAGAUCGUGAGACAGAUGACACACCAGAGGACUAUGAUGAUGUCAUUACCAGUGGACAGACCAAUGGUACUGAAAAAGUGGACACACCAGAGAAUUAUGAUGAUGUCAUCAUUAAUGGACAGUGCUCUCAAUGUGUAAUGGAGGGGGAUCAGGAGGAGUAUGAUGAUGUGUGGAGUAUCACUGAAGACUUGAGAAACUUGUUAGACUAUGAUGUGGAGGAGUCAAACAAUGAGAGAGAAACUGUAUGACUUAAUGGCCACGCCUACUGCCACUGUUCAUUACAGCUUCUGGAUGUUUUUUUAAAUUUUUUUUUUAAUUGAAUUUAACAAAAUUUUGAAACAAUAUUUUUAGGCCUGGUUUCACAUACAGGGCUUAGAUUAAGCCAAGAUUAGGCCUUAGUUCAAUUAUGGCAUUUAAGUAGUUUUUAUAAAUGUACUCUUGAAAAAUAACAUGACUGGUGUGCAUCUUGAGACAAAACAAUGGCACUGACAUAUUUUAAGAAAUGUCAGUGCAAGUUGUUUUCAGUUAAAACAACUCAAACAUGCAUUUUAGUCUAGGACUAGCUUAAGCCUUGUCUGAAACUGGGAGAUAGAGUUGCCUUUCAUUCCCUUUUCAAUAUUCUUUGAUAAACUACUUAAAUAUGGUCAUUAACACAAUCUUCAUAAAUGAAUUACUGCUAACAUUAUAAUUUCUAAACAUUGUUUAUUGUCAUGAUUUCCACAGUUCAGUGUUAAGAAUCAGUCAGAGUUAAAUGUUUCUUACACUUAUUUCCUCUUUUUGUUCAUGUCAAAUAAUUGAGGUGUAGGAGAGUCUUUCAGUGACAAAACAUGAUAGUUACAAUGUCUUGCACAAAUAUGUUUUCUGAACAUUUGUUAAAAAUCUGUUAGAAAACAUAACAGAAAGCAGAAAGCAUAAAUAACCUGAAAUAGGAUGUUUGCAUAAAUGUUAUUCAGUGGCUGUGAUGUUGUACAUUUACACCAAUAGAACUGAAGAACUCUCCUAAUAAGAACUAAAUUGCAUUACAUCACACAAAAAGAUUACUAAAUAUUACAAAAAUGUAUAUAUUGAAUCUUUAAUCCAACAGCAUUUUUUAAAGAGAAAGAUCUUUCUCAUUAUUUGGGAGAUCAUAAUGCUCAUCUACUCCUGAUUCCUGAAUUGUUCUGAUUACAGCUAAAGAAUGUUAAUUACAGACAAGAAUGACUCUUUUAAGAAUAUCUGAUUCAUUAUCUUCAUUUUUCUGUUGUCUGUCUUUUGAUGUGGUUGUAUUUUAGAGAAAUUUUUAAUAUAGUUGACUUCCAUAUUGAAUUUAUCUGUUGUGAUUUUCUAAUGUUUUUUUUUUAUUAUAAGUAUGUUCUGUUAACUCAAAAUUGUUAAGCAGAAAAAAUAAACUUUAAACUUUGCAGUCCCAAGUAUUACACUGACAAAAUAGAUCUUGAAAAAUGAAUAUGCAUUUCUAGGCAUUUGGCUAUUGACUAUUCAUGCUGGUUUGUAUUUAAAAGUGUUGGAGAUUUGGAGAUUAUGCUUUGAUUUAUAUAGACCUUGAUAAUGACUGUUCAGAGCAUUGAUCCAGAGCAUUUCAGUUGUUUACAGUCUUUUACUGCUAUCAGUUUUAUUUUAUUUUAUUUUAUUUUAUUUUAUUUUAUUUUAUUUUAUUUUAUUUUAUUUUUUUAUUUUAUUUUUUUAUUUUAUUUUAUUUUAUUUUAUUUUAUUUUAUUUUAUUUUAUUUUAUUUUAUUUUAUUUUAUUUUAUUUUAUUUUAUUUUAUUUUAUUUUAUUUUAUUUUAUUUUAUUUUUAUUUUUAUUUUUUUUGUAAAAAAAUCCAGAAUGUUUCUUGUAAGGGUUUCUCCAAGACUUUUUCAUCUAUUUCUGUCACCAGUGGAGUUUGGGUUCCUUGACACUGUCGCCUUUUGGCUUGCAUAGUUGGGGACACUUAAUAUUCAACAAUAUUAUUGAUUUGACUGCACUGACACUAUCAGACUGAACUGAGCUGGAUGAUGACAUCACUGUUUUCUGCUUUAUUGAACUCAUUCCAUAAUUUAUGAACUUUACACAGUUAUUGAACCAAACUGAAUCAGCACUGAACUGUUGUCUUUAGCUGCUUUACAGUAGAAUUGAACUCUGUUUGCAUCAUUGAAUCCUGUUUAUCAUGGUAAUGGUUUGAAACAAUCUGUAUUGUAUAAAGGGCUAUAUAAAUAAAGGUGGCUUGACUUGA